rnacentral:rRNA from 1 species
UACGGAGGAUGCGAGCGUUAUCCGGAUUUAUUGGGUUUAAAGGGUGCGUAGGCGGACUGUCAAGUCAGCGGUAAAAUACGGGGGCUCAACCUCCGCCCGCCGUUGAAACUGACGGUCUUGAGUGGGCGGGAAGUAUGCGGAAUGCGUGGUGUAGCGGUGAAAUGCAUAGAUAUCACGCAGAACUCCGAUUGCGAAGGCAGCAUACCGGCGCCCAACUGACGCUGAAGCACGAAAGCGUGGGUAUCGAACAGG